AGAUCACCAGUUAAGGCCCCUAAAUGACCACUCAAUGAUAAAGGAGGUAGGGGUGCAGAGACAACCAGAAGGUUUGCCUAGAAGCAGUCACCCUUGAAAGAGUGCGUAAUAGCUCAAUGAUCGAGCACUCUUGCACCAAAGAUGAACAGGGCUAAGCGAUCUGCCGAAAGUAAUAUAAAAAUAUUACUUUUUGUU